rnacentral:rRNA from 1 species
UACGAAGGGGGCUAGCGUUGUUCGGAAUUACUGGGCGUAAAGCGCGCGCAGGCGGCUAUCCAAGUCAGAGGUGAAAGCCCGGGGCUCAACCCCGGAACUGCCUUUGAAACUAGGUAGCUAGAAUCUUGGAGAGGUCAGUGGAAUUCCGAGUGUAGAGGUGAAAUUCGUAGAUAUUCGGAAGAACACCAGUGGCGAAGGCGACUGACUGGACAAGUAUUGACGCUGAGGUGCGAAAGCGUGGGGAGCAAACAGG